GAGAGAAAGGAGAGGUUUUGGGCGGCAAGGAGCACCAGAAUGGCUUCCUUCAGCUUCUCGUGGGCCGAUGAAGUGGAGCGAGAGGAGCAGGAAGAACUGGAGAAGGCGAAGGGGAAGGACGCCGGAGAGGAAGACGAGAAGCAGCAGCCUGAGAGAAAGGCUGACCCUUUCGGGUCCGCGAGGCCCAGGGAGGUGGUCCUAGAGGAGAAAGGAGUGGACUGGCGCAAGCUAGAUCAGGAAUUGGACGCCCAUUCCAAUCUCAGCUGUGUGAUUUCCUAGAGCAAUUGGGCCUGCAGGUGUCAACCAUUUACCAUGUACUUCCUAGUAGCUCCUGAUGUCUGAUGAUCACCUCCAAAUAGGCCGAUCAGUCCAAUGUGGCUCUGACUCGGCUCCCUCUCGGGGUCGAUGAUACCAUUGUAGAUCCUCCAUGACUCCCGAAGUGGCCCGACUCCUGAUCCGUCAAGUCCUACAAAAUGACCUAUGUCAAGAGGAACGACAAGAAGCUAACAGGAAACGUUUCUCUGGCAGCAUCUUCCAUUAGCAAAAAGGAACAUCCUCUUGUUGGAUUUGGUAAUCACACAGAUCAAAUGAAGCCAGGACAUGAUCCAAGGAGCAUUCGGUCGCAGAAGCACCAAAAUGCUGUGCUUGUUCCCCCAUUAAAGCUCCUUCCAAAAAAUAUAGCCCCUUCGCUGGGACACACUCAUAGGGAACAAUCUUACCCACAAAAUGCUGCUUUGGACAGUGGUCUUCUGAGUCGACAUCCAUGCAACUCAAACACAAACACUGUGCACCAUUUUGCAGUCGAUCCUGCUCUUGGUUUGUUAAGAGUACCACAAUACAGUUUGAGCAUGGUGGGGAGAAGCCAGUUGAGGAUGCAACCAAACACUGGAACCUUAAAACACAGCCAACAAAUGGGAUCUAACUGCAAAAUGGGUGUUGCUAGAAACAAAGAGAUGAUUUUGAUGAACAACCACGAGGAUGAUGGAAUUAGAAGAUGUGACCAUGGAAAAGAGACUCAUUUCCUUGUUGCCGGAGAAGAGCUACAAGGUGACGGUAGGAGAAUUCUGACUGAUCUGAACAUGGGAAGAACCAAUAUGAAGAAGACUCACAGAGUUGGUGAAUCACAAGCUGCAAAGAGGAAGUCUUGCAUUCAAGAGUUGACAGAUAAAGCUAUGGAACCGCGAAUGUGGAUUAUGAAGACAAACCAGAACAAUGAUUGCCUGAGAUCAGAUUCUCCAGGAACUAAAAACAAAGUGGAUGAUGAAGGUGUAGAAUUGGUUGGUCCUUCAACAAGUAAAAAUGCAUCUUCUGGCAAGAACAAUCACAACAGAAAGAGAGGGCUGCACUCAGCACCUCAGUCUGGUCGUCAUAGAAGGAAGCAAAGGAAUCAAGCUGGAUUGUGCAAGUAACAAAAGAAAAUUUGUUGUAUCAUUAGCACCAGUUAAGAUUAAGAGACCCAAUUGAACUUGUUUUCCAUACAUUACAUCGACAUGUAGCAUCUUAUACUGCUAUAGCCAUUAAUCUGGCAAAUAUUUCAUUCUCUG